GCCUCUGGAGUGAUUGGUUUGCAGGAGAACCCACCCGCAUGGCCUUGCUGGGGAGGAAGACCCGGAAGAGGCGACUCAGCUGCUCUGGGGCCGGUCGGAAUCAGUAGGCCCCGGCCUGCCGGCAACAGCUGCUUCACAUUGCUGGCUCCUGGUCCAGGGACAGCGGUGCAGAGGUGCAGAAAGCGAGGAAAUGGACAUGGCUGGAAUAAGGAGGACGUGCAAAGCCCAAGGGAAGACAGGCGCCAAGAUAUCCCCCUAAAUGUCUUCACCCUCUGCUAAUGGCCCAUUUCUCUUAAUGAACUCUUCAAUGCCGGAAGCUCCCCACUGUAAUGAACCUUCCUAAUCAAGAUGUAAUGGGAGCCUGGGUUGGUCGAGACCACCACAAGCCCCAUGAAGACCCUGUAUGUGACAUCAGAUGCCAAGCUGUCAUGGGAGAGGCCACUUCUGUCCCUCUGAAGCCCACAGCCAUCCAGACUGGUGGUGGUGGUGCUGCAUCACCCCCUACACACACACACCAUGACAGAUGCAGCAAUUUUAUUAAACAU